rnacentral:rRNA from 1 species
UACGUAGGCAGCGAGCGUUGUUCGGAAUUACUGGGCGUAAAGAGUGUGUAGGCGGUGCUCUAAGUUCGGUGUGAAAUCUCCUGGCUCAACUGGGAGGUGCGCCGGAAACUGGAGUGCUUGAGCGUGGGGAGAGGAAAGCGGAAUUCCCGGUGUAGCGGUGAAAUGCGUAGAUAUCGGAAGGAACACCAGUGGCGAAAGCGGCUUCCUGGUCCAGCACCGACGUUCAGGCACGAAAGCGUGGGGAGCAAACAGG